rfam:Capsella rubella cultivar Monte Gargano unplaced genomic scaffold scaffold_1, whole genome shotgun sequence.
UAUUGGCAGUGAUGAUGAAUUGUAACAGCUUGAUACGCCAGUUCUGCUUCAGAUAAUUUUUGAUUGAAAAAGCUGUAUUCUUUCUGAGCCUAGA